rnacentral:rRNA from 1 species
GUGUCAGCAGCCGCGGUAAUACGUAGGUGGCAAGCGUUGUCCGGAAUUAUUGGGCGUAAAGCGCGCGCAGGCGGUUCCUUAAGUCUGAUGUGAAAGCCCACGGCUCAACCGUGGAGGGUCAUUGGAAACUGGGGGACUUGAGUGCAGAAGAGGAGAGCGGAAUUCCACGUGUAGCGGUGAAAUGCGUAGAGAUGUGGAGGAACACCAGUGGCGAAGGCGGCUCUCUGGUCUGUAACUGACGCUGAGGCGCGAAAGCGUGGGGAGCAAACAGGAUUAGAUACCCUGGUAGUCCACGCCGUAAACGAUGAGUGCUAAGUGUUAGAGGGUAUCCACCCUUUAGUGCUGUAGCUAACGCAUUAAGCACUCCGCCUGGGGAGUACGCUCGCAAGAGUGAAACUCAAAUGAAUUGACGGGG